AUGACUAUAUCAGUUUAAAUCGACCACCAACGCCGGAAGAAUGCGGCAAAUUUAUGUCUUGUCUUGAUAGUUUUAUAUGGCAUCGCAUUGUUAUUGUUUAAAGAUUGUCGAAGCUUUUUCCUCAGAAACCACCUUUCCGGGUAUUGCAUUACAACGGUGGGCAAUUUGCGAGCGGCAUCUCACCUGAAUCAUGCCUAUAACUAUGCAACGAUGGGUGACAACUGUUUGGAAGAUAAUGCACAAUUCCGUUAUCUCAGUAAUGAGAAAUUACAAAACAUAGAAAGUAUGGCAAUACUUAUGUCUCCAUAUGGUAACCAGUAUGAAAGGUGUUGGAUAGUGUAUUAUAUAGAAAUAACUGUCACGAAACGGGAUUACCUAAAUUACCGGGAACACCGUUUAAAGCAAACGCCAGCUGGAUCCUUAAGUUUUUACAACAGAACAUCUGUACCAAUUUGUGCUGAACCUAACUCAACAGCAUAUAUAAAAAGAGAGAAUUGCACUGAAAAACCACAACAAAAGUUUACUUUAGGAUCAGUAACCAGGUAUGGCGCCAAAACGAAAGACGUUCAUUGCUCUUCAAAACAACUCAUGGUGGUCAAGAGAGCAGAUUAUGGGGACUUUGACAAGGGUGGUAGAUUUGAUUAUUC